UACGGGAGGCAGCAGUGGGGAAUUUUCCGCAAUGGGCGAAAGCCUGACGGAGCAAUACCGCGUGAGGGAAGACUGCCUAUGGGUUGUAAACCUCUUUUUUCAGGGAGGAAUAAAAUGACGUGUACCUGAAGAAUAAGCAUCGGCUAACUCCGUGCCAGCAGCCGCGGUAAU
rnacentral:rRNA from 1 species